rnacentral:rRNA from 1 species
AGGGUGCUAGCGUUGUUCGGAAUUACUGGGCGUAAAGCGCGCGUAGGCGGUUUUUCAAGUCAGUUGUGAAAGCCCGGAGCUCAACUCCGGAACUGCCAUUGAAACUGUGAAACUUGAGGAUGAGAGAGGUGAGUGGAAUUCCCAGUGUAGAGGUGAAAUUCGUAGAUAUUGGGAAGAACACCGGUGGCGAAGGCGGCUCACUGGCUCAUUUCUGACGCUCAGGCGCGACAGCGUGGGGAUCAAACAGG